GCAUCAAUCUUGCUGACACGCCCCGUUUCAGCAAGAUUGAUGC
rnacentral:misc_RNA from 1 species